GAUUGAACGCUGGCGGCAUGGCUAAAGCAUGCAAGUCGAACGAGAACCGGCUUCGGCCGGGGACAGUGGCGGUAGGGCGAGGAAUACGAUCGAACGUGCCCCGAGGUGGGGGAUAGCCGCGGGAAACUGCGGGUAAUACCCCAUGUGCUCUUCGGAGGAAAGGUUUACCGCCUUGGGAGCGGCGAUCGUCCUAUCAGGUAGUUGGCGGGGUAACGGCCCACCAAGCCGAAGACGGGUAGCGGGUGUGAGAGCACGACCCGCCGCAUCGGGACUGAGACACUGCCCGGACUCCUACGGGAGGCUGCAGCGACGAAUCUUCCGCAAUGGGCGCAAGCCUGACGGAGCAAUGCCGCGUGCGGGAUGAAGCGGCUUCGCCGUGUAAACCGCUGUCAGGUCCCAGGAACACUGACCGGGACCAGAGGAAGGGCCGGCUAACCUCGUGCCAGCAGCCGCGGUAAUACGAGGGGCCCGAGCGUUAAUCGGAAUCACUGGGCUUAAAGGGUGCGCAGGCUGGCCCGAAAGCGUCUUGUGAAAGCCCCCGGCUCAACCGGGGAACAGCGGGGCGAACUUCGGGUCUUGAGGCAGGUAGGGGCGGAUGGAACUGUCGGUGGAGCGGUGGAAUGCGUAGAUAUCGACAGGAACGCCGAUGGCGAAGGCAGUCCGCUGGGCCUGUCCUGACGCUCAGGCACGAAAGCGUGGGGAGCAAACAGGAUUAGAUACCCUGGUAGUCCACGCCGUAAACGAUGCACACUAGAUCGGAGUGGUUCUCAUGCCUUUCCCGGUCGAAGCAAAAGCGCUAAGUGUGCCGCCUGGGGAGUACGGUCGCAAGGCUAAAACUCAAAGGAAUUGACGGGGCUCACACAAGCGGUGGAGCAUGUUGCUUAAUUCGAGCAACGCGAGAACCUUACCUGGGCUUGACAUGCACGGAUUACUCCCUGAAAGGGAGCACGCCCGCAGGG
rnacentral:rRNA from 1 species